rnacentral:rRNA from 1 species
UACGUAGGGUGCAAGCGUUGUCCGGAAUUAUUGGGCGUAAAGGGCUCGUAGGCGGUUUGUCGCGUCGGGAGUGAAAACACGGGGCUUAACCCCGUGCCUGCUUCCGAUACGGGCAGACUAGAGGUAUGCAGGGGAGAACGGAAUUCCUGGUGUAGCGGUGAAAUGCGCAGAUAUCAGGAGGAACACCGGUGGCGAAGGCGGGUCUCUGGGCCGAUACUGACGCUGAGGAGCGAAAGCGUGGGGAGCGAACAGG